rnacentral:rRNA from 1 species
UACGGAGGAUGCGAGCGUUAUCCGGAUUUAUUGGGUUUAAAGGGUGCGUAGGCGGCGAGUUAAGUCAGCGGUAAAAGCCCGGGGCUCAACCCCGGCCCGCCGUUGAAACUGGCAGUCUUGAGUACAGUAGAGGUGGGCGGAAUUCGUGGUGUAGCGGUGAAAUGCAUAGAUAUCACGCAGAACUCCGAUUGCGAAGGCAGCAUACCGGCGCCCGACUGACGCUGAGGCACGAAAGCGUGGGUAUCGAACAGG